CGCGGGGCCCGCCUUGAACACCCUGCAUACGGGCCCGUCGUUGCCUUGUUACGCCAAUGACUGGGUGGCUCUACUCUCCACAGUUGAACCAACCGGACUGGUCUAGGCUCAUCACUGGGUGGCUCUACUCUCCACAGCUGAACCAACCGGACUGGUCUAGGCCCAUCACUGGGAGGCUCUACUCUCCACAGCUGAACCAACCGGGCUGGUCUAGGUUCAUCACUGGGAGGCUCUACUCUCCACAACUGAACCAACCGGACUGGUCUAGGUUCAUCACUGGGAGGCUCUACUCUCCACAACUGAACCAACCAGGCUGGUCUAGGUUCAUCACUGGGAGGCUCUACUCUCCACAGCUGAACCAACCGGGCUGGUCUAGGUUCAUCACUGGGAGGCUCUACUCUCCACAACUGAACCAACCAGGCUGGUCUAGGUUCAUCACUGGGAGGCUCUACUCUCCACAGCUGAACCAACCGGGCUGGUCUAGGUUCAUCACUGGGAGGCUCUACUCUCCACAGCUGAACCAACCGGACUGGUCUAGGCUCAGCUGGGUGGGCUCUACUCUCCACAGCUGAACAUGUCCGGACUGGUCUAGGCUCAGCUGGGUGGGCUCUACUCUCCACAGCUGAACCAACCGGGCUGGUGGAGGUUCAUCACUGGGAGGCUCUACUCUCCACAGCUGAACACUUCUGGACUGGUCUAGGCUCAUCGCUGGGUGGGCUCUACUCUCCACAGCUGAACACGUCCGGACUGCUCUAGGUUCAUCACUGGGUGGCGUUGGCACUGAAAGUAAAAAACGAGUCAUUCAAACCGUUUGGUAUAAAAGGUCAAAUCUGGUUCUCGUGCAGAAUUUCACGUAAAUCGACCAGCGGAAAAAUACUUGAAUGGUAACAGUAUUGAGAUGACAGCCCGUCCGGUACACUCAGACCCAGGCCAGUGUCUCCAUGCUAAAGCUAGUUAGCUGGGGGUCAGAGGGCUAAACAGCUAACGGCUCAGAGGGGGUCAGUCCUAAUGGGGGGCGACCACACAGCUACACACCGGAGUCCGUCUCCACGCGGAAGGUAUCGACACAAAGAAAGACAGACGUACAGAUCAGAAAGACACAGAUCAUACUGUAAAUUUAGUAGACAAACUUAUAGAACAUAGAUUUUAACCUCUUGAAAUAUACUCUCAUAUAUAUAUUUAGAUAUGCACUUCUUUUUUCAGAUGAAAUAAAUAUAUCCACAGAUGCAGUUAAUCGUUUUUUUUUUCUUAAAAAUAGACCAGCUUUACAAUUGCAGACACACAUGGACAAAGGGAGGACAGGAGGAGAGAAUGGAGAAGGGGAAGAAGAACUAGUCGGCUCAUUAGAAUCUAAAAAGAUAGCUUAGAGUUCCCUCUGCUAGCCGGCGCUGUGCUACGCUUCUGUCCAAUCGCGGCUUGAGUCAAUGAUUUCAGGCGGGAAGUAUUAGAUUGAGUCCAACUGACGCCUGCGGCGGACAUGUUGGAAAAUAACCAAAAGAUCCACCAAAGCGAUCUAAGAUUGCAGGUCUUCCAAGAACAGUCCUACCGAUCAUCCUUUGUGGUAUGAAAUUAAAGUCUGCUCUUCACCUGACUUCUGGUAGCAAAUGGUAAAGCGUUAAUGAUCCUGGUUAACAUACAGAUAUAUGCUUACAAUUUAUUUUAAAAGUUUGAAGAAUAAAUGAUCAAAUUGAGCAUUUGGGUUUUUAACAGAUAAGCACAGCUAUGUUACUGAAACCAGAAAGAAUAUAACCGUAGAUAUCAAAAGCGAAAACAAUUUUCUAUAAUACUACCCAACUCCACAAAUAUAUAUUAUGAGAUAUAGCUAGAUUUCUUUUUUUAAAUAAAGACAAACUUUACACAUCAAAUUCCUGUUUUGAAUUUCAACUUUCAUUCUUUUUCCUGCGUUCUUUGACUGAAGUAAGUUAUGGCUCGGACGCAGCUCAGGGUAAAGCAGGAGCUGAUUAACGAUAAUCAAUAAUAAUAAUCAUUCAACUUGUUCUGGGGGCAGCGGUCAGCGCUGGUGCGAUGCUAACGCGACGCCGCGGUGUCAUAAUGCUCACGCUGGCCCCUCGGCACGGGAUGAGGACUAAGAUUACUUUAGUUCUCGCUAAUGUCUUGACAUCAGAGUGUAGCGGCUGGUUGCAGCUCAAAUGUGACUCGAGGAUGGAAUAAAAAAAUAUUCUGCUGCGCUGUUUUUUUCGGAGCUGCUACUCUAUUCUUCCAACUUGGUUUUGACCACAUUUUCACUAGUUUACCUUUUAUUUUUCAUCACACGUGACCGUUGCGCACAACGUUAUCCGACAUCUUCCCAACAACUAGAAACUUUUUUCACUGAAGCAUGAAGCCAACAAACGCCAGGAGACUGAAGAACACACGAUACGAUUCCCUGCGCAAAUAAGAGUCAUCUUAUCUGGACACAAAAAACAAACAACAAUUUAGCACCAUCUAAUAUUCAAACGUAUUUCACCUCCAGGCAUCUCUAGCACUUCUCGUCUCUGAGGAUUCAUUCAAUGCACAGCGUGUUUGAUUCAGACCCUCCAUUAGCAUCAACUGGCUCAGGUAAACAGAGAGAGGAAAAUAAAGUCAUUUUAAACAAGAUGGCCGCCUGCCGAGGUGUGAUGGCAGAGCAGCAGAUCCCUCGCUGUGCGCCCUGGCCAACGCUCGCGGCUAACGCUCGCGGCUAACGCUCGCGGCUAGCUGGACGUGGCGCCGGCAGGGUUGGGUAGGGAGGGGCCGCUGAGUGGUGGCUUCCCCAAGGGGGGUUGAGAGGGUUUCAUGAACCUCAUGGCACAGUGCUUUACAUCUUAUUAGGCUUUGAUACAUUUGUCUUGAUACACCAAACACCACCGAUUACAGCCACAACUAGACAGAGGUCAAAUAAUGCUUUCAAACAACAGAAACUACCAACGUGAAAUGAGAGACCAACGUAUUGCUCGAGAGAAAAGGUUUUUCCAGCGGACACAUCGAGGCGUUUGUAUAAAGUGGACGUUUGUCGUUCUCCGUGUCCGUACGCUCGUCUGUUGUCCACGUGUGCGUGUGCUUGCAAGAAUGUCAAAUGGAAAAGGCUUCCAUGGGAUUAGAACACAGUAGCUAACAUCACAGAUUAACGUGUUUGAGUUUGGCACGCAGCUCGUCAUUAAGCUAGCUGAAUAUCAGUCACAGUGGACUUACCCUGUUGUCGAGGAAACACAGCGCUGAAAACACAACGAGGAGGCACAGCGAGGGGAGGAGGAGGAGGAGGGGG
ensembl:lncRNA